UGCCCAGCAACUCCUAUCCCUACUUCCUCGUGGUACCGGCCGGAGACUAUGAGCAACCUUAGGGAAGAUCUGGUAACCAACCCCGGUGGGAACUUUGGUCAUAGGCUGACAGGGAAGG
rnacentral:ribozyme from 1 species